GAUGUGGCUGCAACAUCUGUCACCCCAUUGAUUGCCAGGGUUGAUUUGGCUGAUCUGGCUGGCUAGGCGGGUGUCCCCUUUCAU
ensembl:misc_RNA 7SK 7SK RNA